CCGGAAGUGCAGCGACAUUUGUGGGCCCACCCCAGGAUAAUCCUUGCUGAUGUGAUUCGAUGCUUCAGACGCAUUUCACUGUACGUUUAGCUGUGCAGUACAUGUGGCAAAUAAAGGACUUCCAGAACCUAAAUAAUCUCAUGUGCCUUGGGGAAAUACCUCUGCUCUCUGUCAGAGAAAUGUCUUGGGAUCAUUUAUGUCUACAUGAAAAGGCAGGUAUAUCAGGGAAUUUGCUGACCCAGACAAUAAUACUGGCCAGUCCGUCUUCAUAGAACUACUGGUGGAAGUGAUGCACAAUUGCAGCUGCAGAGAUACAAAAUACAGGGGAGAUUCAAAAGUGCAGUAAGGAGUAUUGAUCUAGAAUCUUCUACAUUCGGCGGACUCAUUUUGGAAGACUGUACAUCUGCUUGUUAAUGCAAAUAUAUAAUCAGCCAAUUAUGUGGCAGCAACUCAAUUCUGUUACGAAUGAGGAGCAACUCUGAUGGGCAGAAGGGUGCAAAGUCGUCCCCCCUUUUGAGAAUCGCAAAAUCGCUACUAUUUCGGGUCUGAUACCAAGGAAGUGAGAGAGAGACAACGCAGGGAUACACAAAAGUGGAAUGUCUCCUCCUAACAAAAGCGGAACGGAACCACUGAUUACUGCUAUUGUCUCUUGGAGAAGGAAUUGUGUAUUGAGUACUGUUCUAUUCAUUGAAACCCCUCAGGGGGCAGCCAGAGAGAGCUGGUUGAUGUGUUGCAUCAUCCCAACCUGAUUGACACCUGAGACCCCAUGAGUGGGGAUAAAAGUAGGGUCUGGGGAAACACCCCUCAGACGCACCAGGAGAGAUGCUACGAGACUGGUGGGGGGCUUGUGUGUGUGUCCACCCUUGCCUGGGUGACGAGUCCUCCUCGGAACGGUCUAGCUAAAGGAUGGAGGGGUCAUACGUGAAUGGCCACAACAACAACGCAUCGACGCAUCAAGAUUGUAAAAGGAAAGUCGGCAAGUCAAUAACUGUUACUCUCUCUCUCUCUCUCUCUCUCAAACAAUUGCAACACCAUGAACAACAACUACUGCAGCCUGCAUGAACUGAACUGAACUUUAUAUUUCCAUCGGACAAUUCAGUAUCCCCUAGACAAUGAUAGAGCUUAUUUCUUAUUGAUUAUUAUUAUACCUGCACUUUUAGGUUUAGUAUUG